AGCAGCCGCGGUAAUUCCAGCUCCAAUAGCGUAUAUUAAAGUUGUUGCAGUUAAAAGCUCGUAGUUGAAUUUCGAGAUCAAAUUGUUGGUCGUGCCUUGGUACGCACUGGCAUUAUUGGUUUCUCCCUUCUGACGAACCAUGAUGUCAUUAAUUUGGUGUCUUGGGGAAUCAGGACUGUUACUUUGAAAAAAUUAGAGUGUUUAAAGCAGGCUCACGCUUGAAUACAUUAGCAUGGAAUAAUGAAAUAGGACGUUUGAUUCUAUUUUGUUGGUUUCUAGGAUCGACGUAAUGAUUAAUAGGGAUAGUUGGGGGCAUUAGUAUUCAAUUGUCAGAGGUGAAAUUCUUGGAUUUAUUGAAGACUAACUACUGCGAAAGCAUUUGCCAAGGAUGUUUUCAUUAAUCAAGAACGAAAGUUAGGGGAUCGAAGACGAUCAGAUACCGUCGUAGUCUUAACCAUAAACUAUGCCGACUAGGGAUCGGAUGAUGUUAAUUUUUUAAUGACUCAUUCGGCGCCUUACG
rnacentral:misc_RNA from 1 species